CGGGCCAAGUCCCCUGGAACGGGGCGUCCUAGAGGGUGAGAAUCCCGUACUCACCCGGGUGCCCUUCGCCUUUGUGAAGCCCCUUCGAAGAGUCGAGUUGUUUGGGAAUGCAGCUCCAAGCGGGAGGUAAAUUCCUUCUAAAGCUAAAUACCGGCCAGAGACCGAUAGCGCACAAGUAGAGUGAUCGAAAGAUGAAAAGCACUUUGGAAAGAGAGUUAAAAAGUACGUGAAAUUGUUGAAAGGGAAGCUCUUGCCGCCAGACUUGCCACGGUGGUUCAGCCGCCCUCACGGGUGCGGUGUACUCCUCCGCCGGCAGGCCAGCGUCGGUUCAGGCGGCCGGAUAAAGGCCCCGGGAAUGUGGCACCCUUCGGGGUGUGUUAUAGCCCGGGGUGUAAUGCGGUCAGCCUGGUCCGAGGGACGCGUUCGCGAGGACGCUGGCGUAAUGGUUGCAAGCGACCCGUCUUGAAACACGGACCAAGGAGUCUAACAUCUAUGCGAGUGUUUGGGUGUCAAGCCCACGCGCGUAAUGAAAGUGAACGGAGGUGGGAACCCCCCGGAGGGGCGCACCAUCGACCGAUCCUGAUGUCUUCGGAUGGAUUUGAGUAAGAGCAUAGCUGUUGGGACCCGAAAGAUGGUGAACUAUUCCCGGAUAGGGUGAAGCCAGAGGAAACUCUGGUGGAGGCUCGCAGCGGUUCUGACGUGCAAAUCGAUCGUCAAAUCUAGGAAUAGGGGCGAAAGACUAAUCGAACC
rnacentral:rRNA from 1 species